rnacentral:rRNA from 1 species
GGGGAAUCUUGCGCAAUGGGCGAAAGCCUGACGCAGCAACGCCGCGUGCGGGAUGAAGGCCUUCGGGUUGUAAACCGCUUUCAGCAGGGACGAAAUUGACGGUACCUGCAGAAGAAGCCCCGGCCAACUACGUGCCAGCAGCCGCGGUAACACGUAGGGGGCGAGCGUUGUCCGGAUUUAUUGGGCGUAAAGAGCUCGUAGGCGGCUCGGUAAGUCGGGUGUGAAACCUCCAGGCUCAACCUGGAGACGCCACCUGAUACUGCCGUGGCUAGAGUCCGGUAGGGGAGUGUGGAACUCCUGGUGUAGCGGUGAAAUGCGCAGAUAUCAGGAAGAACACCAGCGGCGAAGGCGGCACUCUGGGCCGGAACUGACGCUGAGGAGCGAAAGCGUGGGUAGCAAAC